rnacentral:snRNA from 1 species
GUGCUCACUUCAGCAACACAUAUACUAAAAUUGGAAUGAUACAGAGAAGAUUAGCACAGCCCCCAAGCAAGGAUGACCCUCAAAUUUGUGAGGUGUUCCAUAUUUUU